GCUUGGUCCGAGUUGGGCAAGUUGGUGUUUCUUAACUAUGAAAGUCUGAUACGCGUCCUUCCCCUAAACUUCUGUUAGAACGGUGGGAAACAUUGCUCCCGUGAGAACGGUAUAGUGGACUUCAUCGCCACUGACCCACAUUUAUUAGGGUGUGACACGAACUUGUGGACAGAGUACCGAGCUGCUGCUUUGCCAGGUGGAUUUCUGGCUGCGGGCAAAGGACCCAACACAUCAGUGUGUUUUAAUUUGUUUUAAACUGGUGUAAGCCGACAGACUGACUGCUGCGGCUGUCGAUGGUUUUGGUUUUUGGUUUUACUUUUUCUGUAUCAGUAGGCACCACAGAUAUUGAUCCUUUUAGUAUUUUAACCCCUUUAUU